rnacentral:rRNA from 1 species
UACGUAGGUGGCAAGCGUUAUCCGGAUUUAUUGGGCGUAAAGGGAACGCAGGCGGUCUUUUAAGUCUGAUGUGAAAGCCUUCGGCUUAACCGGAGUAGUGCAUUGGAAACUGGGAGACUUGAGUGCAGAAGAGAGAGUGGAACUCCAUGUGUAGCGGUGAAAUGCGUAGAUAUAUGGAAGAACACCAGUGGCGAAAGCGGCUCUCUGGUCUGUAACUGACGCUGAGGUUCGAAAGCGUGGGUAGCAAACAGG